rnacentral:rRNA from 1 species
AAACGAUGAACACUAGGUGUCGGGGGAAUCGACCCCCUCGGUGUCGUAGCCAACGCGUUAAGUGUUCCGCCUGGGGAGUACGCACGCAAGUGUGAAACUCAAAGGAAUUGACGGGGGCCCGCACAAGCGGUGGAGUAUGUGGUUUAAUUCGAUGCAACGCGAAGAACCUUACCAGGGUUUGACAUCCUGCGAAUCCUCUGGAAACGGGGGAGUGCCUUCGGGAGCGCAGAGACAGGUGGUGCAUGGCUGUCGUCAGCUCGUGUCGUGAGAUGUUGGGUUAAGUCCCGCAACGAGCGCAACCCACGUCGUUAGUUGCCAGCAUUCAGUUGGGCACUCUAGCGAGACCGCCGGUGAUAAACCGGAGGAAGGUGUGGAUGACGUCAAGUCAUCAUGCCCCUUACAUCCUGGGCUACACACGUACUACAAUGCUACGGACAAAGGGCAGCGAACUCGCGAGGGCAAGCAAAUCCCAUAAACCGUGGCUCAGUUCAGAUCGUAGGCUGCAACUCGCCUACGUGAAGGAGGAAUCGCUAGUAAUCGCAGGUCAGCAUACUGCGGUGAAUACGUUCCCGGGCCUUGUACACACCGCCCGUCACACCAUGGAAGUUGGCCACGCCCGAAGUCGUUACUCCAACCCUUGUGGAGGAGGA